rnacentral:rRNA from 1 species
UACGGAGGGUGCAAACGUUGCUCGGAAUUAUUGGGCGUAAAGCGCACGUAGGUGGUCUGUUUAGUCGGGUGUGAAAGCCCUGGGCUCAACCCAGGAAGUGCACUCGAUACUGGCAGGCUUGAGUAUGGAAGAGGGUCGCGGAAUUCCCGGUGUAGAGGUGAAAUUCGUAGAUAUCGGGAGGAACACCAGUGGCGAAGGCGGCGACCUGGGCCAAUACUGACACUGAGGUGCGAAAGCGUGGGGAGCAACCAGG